CAAUUCCCGUUGAUCCUGCGGGAGGUUGCUGCUAUCGGGAUUCGACUAAGCCAUGCAAGUCAGAGGGUUCCUUCGGGAACACAGGCGAAUCGCUCAGUAACACGUCGAUAAUCUAACCUUAAGUCAGGGAUAACUUUGGGAAACUGAAGCUAAGACCUGAUAGAAGAAUUCUACUGGAAGGUGUUUUCUUUGAAAGGCAACGCUUAAGGAUGAGUCGGCGGCAGAUUAGGCUGUUGGUGGAGUAAAGGCCCACCAAACCGAAGAUCUGUAAGGGCCUUGAGAGAGGUAGCCCUGAGAAGGACACUGAGAUACUGGUCCUAGCCCUACGGGGUGCAGCAGGCGCGAAACCUUUACAAUGCACGAAAGUGUGAUAAGGGAAUCCCGAGUGCUUAUGCUUAGCAUAGGCUUUUGCCAAAGGUAAAUACUUUGGCGAAUAAGUAGUGGGUAAGACUGGUGCCAGCAGCCGCGGUAACACCAGCGCUACAAGUGGCAAUCAGAUUUAUUGGGUCUAAAGCGUCCGUAGCCGGUCUGAUAAGUCUUUUGUGAAAUUGUUGUGCUCAACAUAACAGCGUGCAAAAGAUACUGUCAGACUUGGAACUGGAAGGAGUUAGGGGUAUUCCUUGGGGAGCGGUAAAAUGCUAUAAUCCUUGGAGGACCACCUGUGGCGAAAGCGCCUAACCAGUACAGCUUCGACGGUGAGGGACGAAAGCCAGGGGAGCAAACCGGAUUAGAUAUUGAGACUCCUGUCUCAGAAUUGGUUUCGUUUGUUUGUUGCUAAAAAUACUGAACGAAAUUAAGAACAUCAGGAGUAUAUAAAACUCAACUAAUUACCCGAGUAGUCCUGGCCAUAAACUCUGCGAGCAAGGUGUUGCAUAUUCUUCAUGAAUAUGCAGUGUCGAAACGAAGGUGUUAAGCUCGCCACCUGGGAAGUAUGGUCGCAAGGCUGAAAUUAUCACUCAACUAGAGGGUAAUCAGUAGACUUAAAGGAAUAGGCGGGGGAGCACCACAAGGGGUGCGGCUUGCGGUUUAAUCUAAUUCAACGCAGAGCAUCUCACCAGAAGCGACGGCAGGAUGAUAGUCAGGUUGAAGGCCUUACUUGACGAGCCGAGAGGUAGUGCAUGGCCGCCGUCAGCUCGUACCGUAAGGUGUCCUGCUAAGUCAGGCAACGAGCGAGACCUGUAUCCACAAUUGCUAUCGACUUUUAGAAUCGAGCACAUUGUGGAGACUGCCUUGGAAACAAGGAGGAAGGUGCAGGCUACGGUAGGUCUGUAUGCUCCGAAUCUUCUGGGCUACACGCGCGCAACAAUGGUAGGAACAAUGGGACACAACUCCGAAAGGAGAAGUUAAUCCUCGAAAUCCUAUCUUAGUUCAGAUUGAGGACUGUAACUCGUCCUCAUGACGAUGGAAUCCCUAGUAAUCAGACGUCAUCAUCGUCUGGUGAAUAUGUCCCUGCUCCUUGCACUCACUGCCCGUCAAACCAUCCGAGCCGAGUUUAGGUGAGGCUUAGCAAUCUGUUAAUUCGAACCUAAGCUUAGUGAGGCGGGUUAAGUCGUCACAAGGUAUCCGUAGGGGAACCUGCGGGUGGAUCACCUCCUUAU
rnacentral:rRNA from 1 species